rnacentral:snRNA from 2 species
CUAUUUAUGUGAUUUUUAACUCACACUUACUACACAUCAAGUGUAGUAUCUGUUCUUAUCAGUUUAAUAUCUGAUAUGUGGCUCAAUAGGUCACACGAUAUUAAAUUAUUUUUUUGAGGGGGAGAAGUCAUCACAAUAGCUUGCUAUUGAACUUCUCAAGUGUCGCUUAUGCGUUGCACUAUUGCAUAGGCUGGCGCACCCCAC